rnacentral:rRNA from 1 species
CCUACGGUGGGCAGCAGUGGGGAAUAUUGGGCAAUGGACGCAAGUCUGACCCAGCAACGCCGCGUGAAGGAAGAAGGCUUUCGGGUUGUAAACUUCUUUUAAGGGGGAAGAGCAGAAGACGGUACCCCUUGAAUAAGCCACGGCUAACUACGUGCCAGCAGCCGCGGUAAUACGUAGGUGGCAAGCGUUGUCCGGAUUUACUGGGUGUAAAGGGCGUGCAGCCGGAGUGACAAGUCAGAUGUGAAAUCCACGGGCUCAACCCGUGAACUGCAUUUGAAACUGUUUCCCUUGAGUGUCGGAGAGGUAAGCGGAAUUCCUGGUGUAGCGGUGAAAUGCGUAGAGAUUAGGAGGAACACCGGCGGCGAAGGCGGCCUGCUGGACGGAAACUGACGGUGAGGCGCGAAAGCGUGGGGAGCAAACAGGAUUAGAUACCCGUGUAGUC